GUUUUUUUGAUAAUAAUUUAAAAUUUAAUCUGCUCAAUGAUUAUUUAAAUUGCCGCAGUAUUUUAACUGUGCAAAGGUAGCAUAAUAAUUAGCUUUUUUAUUGGAAGCUGGAAUGAAUGAUUGGACGAGAAAAUUUCUGUCUCUUUAUUAAUUUUAUUUAAUUUUACUUUUAAGUUAAAAGGCUUAAAUUUUUUUAAAAGACGAGAAGACCCUAUAGAGUUUAAUUUGUUGAAGAUUAUUUUUUAUUGGUAUUUUUAAAUUUAUUUUUUAAUAAAUUUAGUUGGGGUGACUAAAAGAUUAAUAAAACUCUUUCAAUUUUAAUCAAUUGUAUUUGAAUAUAAAAUCUAUAUUUUUAAAUUUAAAAUAAAUUACCUUAGGGAUAACAGCGUAAUUUUUUUUUAAAGUUCAUAUUAAAAGAAAAGUUUGCGACCUCGAUGUUGGAUUAAAAUUUAUUUUAGGUGUAGAAGCUUAAAAAUUGAGUCUGUUCGACUUUUAAAAUUUU
rnacentral:rRNA from 1 species